UAGCACAAAUCAACACAUUGCACAUUGUUUGAUAUAUAUAUAUAUAUAUAUAUAUAUAUGAAAUAAUUCAUAGCAAAUAAUGAAAAAUAGACAAAUAGCAUCAUAACUAUCAUUGCAGUAAUUAAUGGUGGAGAGUAAAAAAAAAAAACAUGCCUUCCGCUAUUUGGGCUAGCGGAAACUCUAAAAAAAAAAUUCGGAUCACAUUGCCCAAUACACAUCGGCUAGUUCAACUAGCGUACGAAUCAUUUCCCAGAAUCCCCUGCGAUUUCUUCUUCAAUUAAAUCCUCCAUCCUCUGCUGAUGCGAAGAAGAUGCUGCAACCCCCAAGCGAUUUCUUCAAUUAAAUCCUCCUAUUUCACUGCUGAUGCGAAGAACAUGCUGCGAUAAUCUGUAAAGCCUCCAUCAUCCUCUGCUGCGAUACCAAACCCUGAUGCGAUUUCUUCUUCGAGCGAAUCCGUCAUCCUCUGCUGCGAUAAUGUGUAAAGCCUCCCUCAUCCUUCAAUUCAGAUAAUUUGUAAAGCCUCCCUCCUGCUGCGAAAACCAAACCCACUGGCGAUUUCAAUUUCGAGCGAAUCCUAUAAACCAAACCCUCCUUUGUGUCCGACUGGCGAUUUCUCCUUUGUGUCCGACUGGCGAUUUUGAAUACAGAUAUCAAAUACACCUCUUUCCCCUCUUCACUCCAAUCCAAUCCAAUCCUCUGAUCCUCUUCAAUUCAGGUAACUUUUGAUCAAUUUAGAUUUUAUUUCAACUGGCGAUUUUGUUUUGUUGUUAUUCAAUUGAUUAAUAUGGUACUGAUUAGUUAACUUGUUUUGUAUCUAAUGUAUGUCAUUUAUUUGGAGUGUUAUGUAUGAACCUUGUUGGCUUGAAACACUGAAUUUUCAUGGUUUAUCAUGUAGAAAUGGUUGUAAAGGUGGAUGACAUUGUCAGGUUUGGAAGCUGUAUUUGAUAGGGUUUUUACUGGUACGAAUAAUUAUUGACAUGUAAUGCAGGGUUUAUACAUAUUUUGCUAAGGUUAUGUUUUCUUUGGAGGUGCUAUAUCAUUUUUCCAUAUUGAUCCAUACUCAUUUUCCUGAAGCCAUAUCUGGAUAAUAGCCUAUGUUACAAUUAGAAUUUUCUCUCAGUUAUUUAGGUUAUCACAUUAUCGGCAUAUAGAGUGUAAGGCAUUUGGUUUCGCAUUGAUCGUAUGCAGACAUACCAUUAAAUAGGUUGGAAUAUUGCAUCUUGUGCUACAGUUAGUCUGCAGUCAGGGUUUAGUUUUAAAUUUCUUCUUGUGUUUGUUGCCUACCAGCUUUGGAUGUAGCUGUACUUGUCUAUGUUAUAUGGUAUGUAUCUGAUUUGGGAAUAUAUGGGUUUGUGCUUGUGAAAUCAUUAGCCAGUCAUGUAGCAAAUAACAGAGAACUUGGUAUACCCUGUUUUGCAAAUUUUAUUUGUUAGGCAUGCUAUGUCAGUUUUGAAUAGGCCUUGGCACUUCUAAAAUUAGUUCCUUUUAAUAUUUCAAGCUCACUGGCCAUUAAUGAUAUUUGAUGUUUUUUUUUCUUUUUUCAAUAUUGUCAAAAUGCAAUGAUGGGCAUUAUUUUUGUAGAAAUAAAGUUGUUUGCGUGUCAGAGGAGCAUGGUAAAUUUAGCAGUAAUUCAACAAAGUUGAAGACUUAACGUAUUUAAAUUGUAUGGAUGUUUAUUUGUUUAUUGAUCUGUUUCUAUAAUAUUCACCUACACUUUUUCUUAGUGUGAGAUGACAGGUGGUGUAGUUGAUAUUGGCGAUGGGGCUGCUCAUGUUGUACCUGUUGCAGAUGGUUAUGUUUUAUUGGUAGCAGCAUUAAGUUGAUUCUCAUUUCUGGGAAUGAUGUAACUCUCUUCACCCAGCAACUCAUGUGGGUAAGUUGUCUUUGACUCUCAAUCUCGCAUUAGUUCCUUGAAUUAAAAGACUUAGGAGUAGAGAAUGCUCAGAGGCAAAAUGAUGUAGAGCAGUGUUACUAAGUUGUUUUUUUUUAGUUAAAACUCAAAAGAUUUUGGAGUCUUUACGCGAAAUGGGUUUUUAAAUCCAGGCCAUUGAUAUGUUAUUUGCCAAAUUUUGAUCCAUAGCAAAUACAUUAUCCAUUGCCCAUAUAUAUAUAUAUAUAUAUAUAGACAGGAUCAAGAGUAGACCUCUUAAGUAGUAGAAUUCUCUUAAAUAAUAGAACUUUAUCAAAACGACGUANNNNNNNNNNNNNNNNNNNNNNNNNNNNNNNNNNNNNNNNNNNNNNNNNNNNNNNNNNNNNNNNNNNNNNNNNNNNNNNNNNNNNNNNNNNNNNNNNNNNAAGCUAAUGAACACUGGUACACAGCAACCAUGGACCAUCUUCCUAGUUGUCUUGACAUGGGAGGUUGACAAGUGUCGUGUUGUUCCCGCAGGCAUUGGAUUGGGUAAGAGUUAGGCUGUAGACGUGCUGCUCUCCAUUAUUAGUCAGUACUCUUGGUAUAUACUAGUAUGUGGUCUGAUGUACUGCUUUUUCCAUUUCUGAUUUAUGCUGGGGACUUUGGCUAUUUUGCACCUGAGUAUGCAAUUAUUAGGGGAAAAAAUAAAUAUGAUGAAAUUAGAUCAUUGUAAUAUUUCACAAAUUCUUUUUGUAAUAUUACAUAUUAAUAUAUUCAAAUUAAAAUAUUUCUUUUUCUUUUUAUAAUA
rnacentral:lncRNA from 1 species